GAUGAACGCUGGCGGCGUGCUUAACACAUGCAAGUCGAACGAUGAAGCCCAGCUUGCUGGGUGGAUUAGUGGCGAACGGGUGAGUAACACGUGAGUAACCUGCCCUUAACUCUGGGAUAAGCCUGGGAAACUGGGUCUAAUACCGGAUAGGAGCGUCCACCGCAUGGUGGGUGUUGGAAAGAUUUAUCGGUUUUGGAUGGACUCGCGGCCUAUCAGCUUGUUGGUGAGGUAAUGGCUCACCAAGGCGACGACGGGUAGCCGGCCUGAGAGGGUGACCGGCCACACUGGGACUGAGACACGGCCCAGACUCCUACCGGAGGCAGCAGUGGGGAAUAUUGCACAAUGGGCGCAAGCCUGAUGCAGCGACGCCGCGUGAGGGAUGACGGCCUUCGGGUUGUAAACCUCUUUCAGUAGGGAAGAAGCGAAAGUGACGGUACCUGCAGAAGAAGCACCGGCUAACUACGUG
rnacentral:rRNA from 1 species